AUUGAACGCUGGCGGCAGGCCUAACACAUGCAAGUCGAGCGGAUGAAGGGAGCUUGCUCCUGGAUUCAGCGGCGGACGGGUGAGUAAUGCCUAGGAAUCUGUCUGGUAGUGGGGGAUAACGUCCGGAAACGGGCGCUAAUACCGCAUACGUCCUGAGGGAGAAAGUGGGGGAUCUUCGGACCUCACGCUAUCAGAUGAGCCUAGGUCGGAUUAGCUAGUUGGUGGGGUAAAGGCCUACCAAGGCGACGAUCCGUAACUGGUCUGAGAGGAUGAUCAGUCACACUGGAGCUGAGACACGGUCCAGACUCCUACGGGAGGCAGCAGUGGGGAAUAUUGGACAAAGGGCGAAAGCCUGAUCCAGCCAUGCCGCGUGUGUGAAGAAGGUCUUCGGAUUGUAAAGCACUUUAAGUUGGGAGGAAGGGCAGUAAGUUAAUACCUUGCUGUUUUGACGUUACCAACAGAAUAAGCACCGGCUAACUUCGUG
rnacentral:rRNA from 1 species